GGGUAUAUAGGAGUGAGCCUGUCUGUCGGUCAGUCUGUCGGUCCUUAUUCAGUGUCCGCUCUUUAAUUCAAGUUGUUUAAAUCUGAUCUUCACCAAACUUGGUCAGAUGUUGUAUCUAGAUGAUGUCUAGGUCAAGUUCGAAUAUAGGUCAUGUCGGGUCAAAAACUAGGUCAUGGGGUCACUUAGUGCGUUUUAAACAUUAAGCAUGGUGUCCGCUCUCUAAUUUAAGUAGUUUUCACCCGAGCUUCACCAAACGCGGUCAGAAGUUGUAUCUAGAUGAUGUCUAGGCCAAGUUAAAACAUGGGCCAUGCCGGGUCAAAAACUAGGUCACAGGGUCACUUAGUGCGUUUAAAACAUUGAGCAUGGAGUCCGCUGUUUUUUGUGAAGACAACAUACAAAAUAUUCUGUGUCAAUGGGGCAUGUGGGGUAUUCGUCACCUCUGUGACAAAGCUCUAGUUGCCCUUUGUUUCAUUCAUAAGCGUGUCUAUCAUUAUGUUAGUUGCGUCGUGUUUUGAUAUGCUCGAAUGUUUUAUUACAUAUUUACCUUUUGAAACUUUGUAAGAAAUAUUGACUUUUUAUUGAUAUACAUAUGUCUAUGUUAACAUAUAACAUGGUAUGAGAUAAUAAUAACAAAUAAAUAUGAAUACAGUU